CUCAAGGAAGAGUCUAAGUCAGCCCUACAGUUCAUCUUGUCUAGUGUUUGAUCAAGAUUUGCUUUGUGGGCCAGGCGCGGUGGUUCACGCCUGUAAUCCCAGCACUUUGGGAGGCCAAGGUGAGCAGAUCUCCUAGUUCUCAACCACCAAGGAGCUAAAACCCUUCUAGAGAACCUUCCAGAGAACUAGAAGAGGAGAAGCAGAAUCAAUAGAAGGGAUCAUAUUCUUCUCUCCACCGCAGGUUCCUUAAGCCAUGGCUUAAGAUGAGUUCUGCAUUGGACCUGAGACUGGAGUUUUAAGCCAUAUCGGACUGAGUCUUUAAAUAACCAAAAGGGAGCAGAGUGUUAUGGACUCUGACCAUGAUGUUGUGAAGAGGUACAAAGGAGACAUUUGUCAUGGCACAGAUG
rnacentral:lncRNA from 1 species